AAUAGAUACCCUGGUAGUCCACGCCGUAAACGAUGAGUGCUAAGUGUUAGGGGGUUUCCGCCCCUUAGUGCUGCAGCUAACGCAUUAAGCACUCCGCCUGGGGAGUACGGUCGCAAGACUGAAACUCAAAGGAAUUGACGGGGGCCCGCACAAGCGGUGGAGCAUGUGGUUUAAUUCGAAGCAACGCGAAGAACCUUACCAGGUCUUGACAUCCCACUGACCGCUAUGGAGACAUAGUUUUCCCUUCGGGGACAGUGGUGACAGGUGGUGCAUGGUUGUCGUCAGCUCGUGUCGUGAGAUGUUGGGUUAAGUCCCGCAACGAGCGCAACCCUUGAUCUUAGUUGCCAUCAUUUAGUUGGGCACUCUAAGGUGACUGCCGGUGAUAAACCGGAGGAAGGUGGGGAUGACGUCAAAUCAUCAUGCCCCUUAUGACCUGGGCUACACACGUGCUACAAUGGACGGUACAAACGGUUGCCAACCCGCGAGGGGGAGCUAAUCCGAUAAAACCGUUCUCAGUUCGGAUUGUAGGCUGCAACUCGCCUAC
rnacentral:rRNA from 1 species